rnacentral:lncRNA from 1 species
UGGGAAGAAAAUUCCCUAUUAAAAAAAAUAAUUUCUAAAAGGAAAGCAUAGUCUGUCUUCCACUUUUUUCUUCAAAUCAUUGUAACAUUUUUCUUUUUACAUCUUUCAGUUUUAGCAUUCCUAAGCAAUAAAAUGGACUUUCCUGGUGGCUCAGAUGGUAAAUAAUCCACUUGCAAGUCAGGAGACCUGGGUUCGAUCCCUGGGUCAGGAAGAUCCCAUGGAGAAGGGAAUGGCUACCCACUCCAGUAUUUUUGCCUUGAGUAUCCCAUGGACAGAGGAGCCUGGUGGGCAAUAGUCCUUUUGGUCGCUGAGUCAGACACAACUGAGUGACUAACCACACAUACAAGCAUUGAGGUAGUCAAGUGAUGGUUUAAAACAUAAACAACUGAUAAAUAUAUGUGUUAGGGAACUAUUCUAGCUUAACACGUUUAUGAUGGGAGAAUUUGUACAUAGUUUGGUAUCUUCAUAAAGGUAAAUAGAAAAAGAAAAAAAUUAUGAGAAAUUUAACUGGUUCCAAACAUAUUUAUUUAUAAUAGUUCAAAAUAAAAAAAUAGUUGUUGGCAAUUCUAAUACCCUUAGAAACGUAUCCCUUGGUAAAUGCAUUCAAACAUUUAAAGCAAUACAGGGUUCAGAAAAUGUUGAACGUGUAUCAUUAAGAAGUAGAGUCUAGAUUAAAAUUGUGAAACUUGAACCAGACUUAAAAUGUAUGUCGAGUCACCAUUUUCACAAAUUCAUUGACAAAUCCUUCUGUAACUUUUAACUUUUCAAUUAUUACAUGUUUACAAGUUACUCCUGUAAAAUCUGUCAGGUUAUAUCAUCUUAAAUUAGAAGAAAAUGGAUUUCUACGUACAUGUGAAGAAAACAUAUUUCUUAAAUGUCAUCAAGAGAUAGAACUCAGCGAAAACCAUCAAGCAAGGCAGCUUAAUAAACUUUUUGGAGAUUUAAGUCAGACAAGAAGAUUCACAUAUUCCUCUGGUACAGUCUACAAAUUAUAAAGUUGUUUUGCAGGUGGUCAUAUAUCCCGAUGGGGUAAAUUAUUCAGGUUAGUUUUGAUUUUUUAGUCAAAGUUUGCAUGAUGACAUGGAGACUCUCCCACUCACUUUCCUACCAUAAUCUGAUUAUUAUGUAAGUCCUGAUGUUUAUCAGUAAAGUUCUUACUUUGUAGGUAUGAGUAAAAUAUUCAUUUUUUUCUUAAGAUUUAGUUUGCUCUGAAUUUUCACAAUGAACUUGUUUCAUGCUUAAUUUUAUUUAUCUCACUCACUUAUUAUUAGUAUUCACAAAUAAAGCAGAAUUACUUUGUUAGUUGCCUCUGUGUUCAUUCUUGUUUUCCUUAUUCUCUGUUGAUAUUAAAAAUUUGUUAUAUUAAUAAUUUGAUUACAUUGUUUCAAUGAUUUGUUACUAUUAACACUUUGCCAAGCCUAAUUCUUGAUGGAAUUUCAUAAUUUUUUUUAAAAAAAAUCAACCUUCUGAACCAUUUUUAAGUGUUUCAGUUCAGUUCAGUCGCUCAGUCGUGUCUGACUCUUUGCGACCC